rnacentral:lncRNA from 1 species
AAGCUCACAGACUGAAAAGCAAAGAAAAAAUAGAAGAAGGAAGAAUAAAAUGUCCACUUUGGAUGUCCUAGCUGGUACAAAAUGUCCUGUCUCCUUGAGCAGCCCUUCAUCCCUCACAAAUAAAGAUGAGCAGCAAAGAGAUGGAAAAGGGAUGGAUAACAUUGGAACAGUGAUUUCUGCAAGCAGCACCUAGAAGAGAGAGCUGCUGGCUUUCACAUCAUUAAUGAGGAAGUACUUUCUCCCAGCUUUUUAUUCUUUUACUCCGUCUCUUCUAAGCCAAUGCUUGCUUCCCAAGAACUAGCACGGCCUGAUCCUUACACAGACAAUUAUGACACAGAGAGAGGUUUCAGUCCCCGCAGUGCCAUCUACUGCUGAGAUAAGUUUGAAUGCUGGAUUUAUUAUUUCUUUGGGGGAAAAUUCUCAGGGACCAGCAUCUGCAGGUGGAACACAAGCUCAGGGGGAAAAAAUAAAUGGCUGCAAAAGCCCAGCAAUCUGGCUAAAGUCUCUCUACCCAUACAUAGCUGACACCAAAAGGAAAAAAAUAAAUCCUAAACUAGGAUCCAUCAUUUGUAAUCUUACAUUACUGAAACCAAAUCUUUCUUUGAUCACUCCUCAUUCACUCAAGACAAUUCAUUAUUCAGCCAGUGGGAAUUGUCUCAGCUCCAGUGAAAGCCAGGGAGUUAUACCAGCUGCUAUCCGCUGA